UAUGUGAUCGUCUCUCGCAUAUCAAUAAGCGGAGGAAAAGAAACUAACAAGGAUUCCCCUAGUAACGGCGAGUGAAGCGGGAAGAGCUCAAAUUUGAAAUCUUAAAGGGUUUCCCUUUACGAAUUGUAGUUUAAAGAAGUGUUUUCUGUUGAGGUUUUGGUAAAAGUUCUUUGGAAUAGGACAUCAUAGAGGGUGAGAAUCCCGUAUUUGACCUUUACUUUCAACUUUGUGAUACACUUUCAAAGAGUCGGAUUGUUUGGGAAUGCAGUCCAAAAUGGGUGGUAAAUUUCAUCUAAAGCUAAAUAUUGGCGAGAGACCGAUAGCGAACAAGUACCGUGAGGGAAAGAUGAAAAGAACUUUGAAAAGAGAGUUAAACAGUACGUGAAAUUGUCGAAAGGGAAGCGUUUGACACCAGUGUUGUUUUUCUGAAAAUCAAUUAAAGAACUGUUUAUGCUAAGCUGUUUAGACUUUAUCAGCUAUCUGUUUAGUUUUGAGCUUUUCUUUAAUGCACUUUUCAGUUAACAAGUCAACAUCAAUUUCUUUUGCUGUAAAAAAGCUUGAGGAAGGUGGCUUGAGAUUCGUCUUAAGUGUUUAUAGCCUCUUGCCUAUGCAGUCGGAGAGAUUGAGGUCUGCAGCGUAGAUCCUUCGGGGCUAAAUGCAUUUGUGCUAAGUUAUAGCAUUUUAUAGACAACUUGUUGACUAUGAUUUGUCUUGUAGCUUACUCGCUUAUGUUAUUUUACCUACGCUUAGGAUGUUGAUCUACAGAGCGAGAGU
rnacentral:rRNA from 1 species